rnacentral:rRNA from 1 species
UACAGAGGGGGCAAGCGUUGUCCGGAAUUACUGGGCGUAAAGGGCGCGUAGGCGGCCUGCUAAGUCGAACGUGAAAUCCCUGGGCUCAACCCAGGAACUGCGUCCGAUACUGGUUGGCUUGAAUCCGGGAGAGGGAUGUGGAAUUCCAGGUGUAGCGGUGAAAUGCGUAGAUAUCUGGAGGAAUACCGGUGGCGAAGGCGGCAUCCUGGACCAUUACUGACGCUGAGGCGCGAAAGCUAGGGGAGCAAACGGG